rnacentral:tRNA from 1 species
CAAGGUAUAGCUUAGUGGUAGAGUGUGUGCUUAGCAUGCAUGAGGUCCUGGGUUCAAUACCUAGUACUUCCA